rnacentral:lncRNA from 1 species
UCGGAGUCACCGGCGUACGCCCCGGUGGCGUCGAUCGCGUGUUCAUCACAGAUCACCUCCCAGAACUUGGCGCCGAUCUGGUUUCCGCACUGCCCCGCCUGGAUGUGGAGGAUCUCCCUCAUCUUCACGAGGUCGAGGCGACGGCAGCGGCGGUGGCGUGGACGAGGAAGAAGAGGAGAAGCGGAGGAGGUCGGAGGCAGGUGGAAUCGUGGACUGGUGGCUUUUCUUGCAAUCCAAAU